rnacentral:rRNA from 1 species
GAUGAACGCUGGCGGUAUGCUUAACACAUGCAAGUCGAACGGACUCUUCGGAGUUAGUGGCGGACGGGUGAGUAACGCGUGAGAAUCUGGCUUUGGGUUCGGGACAACCACUGGAAACGGUUGCUAAUACCGGAUGUGCCGCGAGGUAAAAGAGAAAUUGCCUGCAGAUGAGUCCGCGUAUCAUUAGCUAGUUGGUGAGGUAAAGACUCACCAAGGCAGCGAUCAGUAGCAGGUCUGAAAGGAUGACCAGCCAAACUGGGACUGAGACGCGGCCCAGACGACUACGGGAGGCAGCAGUGAGGAAUUAUCCGGAAUGGGCGAAUGUCUGACGGAGGAAUUCCGCGUGAGGGAAGCAGGAUGUUGGGAUGUAAACCACUUUUCUUAGGGAAGAACAAAAUGACGGUACCUACAGAAUAAGCACCGGCUAACUCCGUG